ACAUUUCACUGGUGGGCUGAUGCGUCCGAUCUUUCUAAACACCAUCAGCUGCCCGGUGAAGUGUAG
rnacentral:pre_miRNA from 1 species